rnacentral:rRNA from 1 species
UAGGGAAUCUUCGGCAAUGGGGGGAACCCUGACCGAGCAACGCCGCGUGAGUGAAGAAGGUUUUCGGAUCGUAAAGCUCUGUUGUUAAGGAAGAACGAGUGUGAGAAUGGAAAGUUCAUACUGUGACGGUACUUAACCAGAAAGGGACGGCUAACUACGUGCCAGCAGCCGCGGUAAUACGUAGGUCCCGAGCGUUGUCCGGAUUUAUUGGGCGUAAAGCGAGCGCAGGCGGUUAGAUAAGUCUGAAGUUAAAGGCAGUGGCUCAACCAUUGUAGGCUUUGGAAACUGUUUAACUUGAGUGCAGAAGGGGAGAGUGGAAUUCCAUGUGUAGCGGUGAAAUGCGUAGAUAUAUGGAGGAACACCGGUGGCGAAAGCGGCUCUCUGGUCUGUAACUGACGCUGAGGCUCGAAAGCGUGGGGAGCGAACAGGAUUAGAUACCCUGGUAGUCCACGCCGUAAACGAUGAGUGCUAGGUGUUGGAUCCUUUCCGGGAUUCAGUGCCGCAGCUAACGCAUUAAGCACUCCGCCUGGGGAGUACGACCGCAAGGUUG